CAUUCAUUGAUUAGCAGCUGGUAUCCACAUGUAAGUAUAAUAUUCUUUUCCUUAUUUUCAGAAAUUCUUUUCUUUAUUUUCAGAUAUUCCAAAAAAAUUGAUGGCAUAAUUCGGGUAAUUUAAAACUGUAUCGUUCUACUUCUUUAUUUUCAUCUUAUUAAUAUAUUUCAAUUUUCUUUUCAGGUAAACUAACAUACUAACACAAAACAAUGAAACCAAAAAAAAAAAAUACUAUUAAAAAUAUAAACACCGGGACUUGGGCUGGAAGUGGUGACUCCAUUGGUAAUAAAAGCCCCUCCCUAUAUGCAUUUGUUGAGCACUGGAGCCGGCCAAUUCUUAACGGCAAAGUGCUCGCUUCAGAUGCCUCACACUACUACUAAAAUAGCAUAUCAGCCGGCCAAUACUUAACGGCAAAGUGCCUGCUGGAUGCUUCCAAAAAAAAUCAAUUUUAAAGAGCAUCAAAGCCGUCCAAUUCUUAAUGGAAAAGUGUCCGUUUGAUGGAUCUUUAAAAAAAAAGUGGAUAUAUACAAUGCCAAAUGAACCUAUAACCAAAAUUUCAUGAUUCUAGCUUUAACGGUUUGGGCUGGGCGAUGAUGAAUCAAUCAGUCACGCAAGCCUUUUAUAUAUAGAUUGAGAGAAGGAGAAUGGAUAGUUAGCUGCUGGUUUCAUACCUACAUCCUGUACAAAAAUAUUUUAACAGAUUAAAGUCUACUAAACUCACCUGCAAACAAAUCAACUGUAGUAAUGGGCGUCACAACAGUAUUACAUUCGACACCAUUACAACUGGAACCAUUUUUUUCUUUUCCGUACACUAUCCACGGUGAACCAGAAUUCAACGAACACAUAAAUCCUAUGUCGCAAAACAGAAUUUGGAUGUAAAACCAUUUCUCUUCUGCAGGGCGAUUUAAUACGAUUAACCUUAGAAUCCAAUACGCAUAUAUUAGGAUACAUCCCACCAACAAGGGCGGCUUUAUUGACAGAACAAUUCGAUUUGAGAUUUAUAUAAUGCAUACUAAGAUCAACUUUGCUAUAUAUUAAUUGUGAUGAUCUUAAGGAUCCAACCAAUUGAGUACGGAUAUUGCAGUCCUGUUCCAACAGGCCAUUCAAAAUGAAAUUAUAUUAAAAUCAAAAACCAAUUCCUCAUUUCUAAAGUUAUUUUUCCAUUCUUGAUACAGACGUAAGAAUAUCAAGUGAUCGGAAGGAAUACCUUCAAAUAAACGUUGUUUUUCUUCUUUUAUAUUAUGACGCAAUAAAUCUUUGAAGGGUUCAUUUAAAUGAUUCAUAUAGUAUGACAACUCUAAGGGAUCUAUAGUCGACAUAAAGCCCACAAUGGUUAGUACCGGAACCAAACAUAGCAACAAAGUAGCAAUCACCAUAUUUUGGCUCUUUGCUUGAUAAUAUACGAAUUUCGACUAGCCACUACCGAUGGGCGUCAACUUUUUUCUAUUAUGGAUUAUUUCAUGGCAGAAUAAUUUGUCCAGUUUGUUUUUUCAACUUUAGCAGUCGUUUUCAAAACAAUAACAAAAAGCCAUCACUAUACCCCCAAAGAAUAUCAAGAAGAUCUACAUAUGUCACAUUUAAAGC